rnacentral:rRNA from 1 species
UGAGGAAUAUUGCGCAAUGGGGGAAACCCUGACGCAGCAACGCCGCGUGGGUGAAGAAGGCCUUCGGGUCGUAAAGCCCUUUCGGACGGGACGAACGCUCCGCGGGGACAAGCCGCGGAGUCUGACGGUACCGUAGGAAGAAGCACCGGCUAACUCCGUGCCAGCAGCCGCGGUAAUACGGAGGGUGCGAGCGUUGUUCGGAAUUACUGGGCGUAAAGCGCGUGUAGGCGGCUUUGCAAGCCAGACGUGAAAGCCCUCGGCUUAACCGGGGAAGUGCGUCUGGAACUGCUUGGCUUGAGUACGGGAGAGGGAGGCGGAAUUCCCAGUGUAGAGGUGAAAUUCGUAGAUAUUGGGAGGAACACCGGUGGCGAAAAGCGGCCUCCUGGACCGAUACUGACGCUGAGACGCGAAAGCGUGGGGAGCAAACAGGAUUAGAUACCCUGGUAGUCCACGCGGUAAACGAUGGGCACUAGGUGUGGGGGGUAGUCCACUCCUCCCGUGCCGAAGCUAACGCAUUAAGU